GACACUCCACUAGUCAGGGAAAUGAGGUGGAACCAGCAAAGAAGACAGAAACAACAGCCACAGAGCUAAAAAGGAGAAGCAAGUGAGUCUCCAAAACUAAGUGAAAAAGAUGUGUUUUGAAGAAAAGGGAGUGAGCAACUGUGUUGAGUGCUGAAGACAGGUCAAGUAUAAAGAGGGCUGAGAUUGGACCACUGGAUUUGGCAGCAUGGAGGUACCUGAUGCCACCAAUUCCUGAGUUUUUCUGCUGUUCAGUGGAGUGGACUAUCGCCUUCAAAUUAGCCUGGCCCUGGGCAGCAACAUGGUGUAGUGAAAAGAAAGCAGGCUUUGGAAUGGAUAGAACUAUACUUGAAUCUCUGCUCUAUCACCUUAUCAUGUUAUGUCAAGCAAGUUACGGAACCUCCAUCAUUUGUCAGGUAGGGAAAUCU
rnacentral:lncRNA from 10 species